GGGAGAUAAUGUAUGUACGUCGAAUGCAUCUAAUAAUUUCUCAGAAAGCGAAGAGUUGGAUCAACGUAGAGUUUUGCUUGUGAACAUGAAGUUACAUUACAAAUAGAAUCUUUGUUCCACCAGAGAAGUCCAUAAGUUAAUAUAUCCACAAUAUUACAGUAUAUUGAUCACUUAUGGAACAGCAAAAUAAUUCCAAGUAUCACCUAUAAACUGCACAGGUUAUAUAGAUUCACAUGGCGGAAAAGAUCAAAAAGAGCACAAAAAACAUGCAAGACUUGCAUAACUUCACCUCCUUAAUGAGGAUUUGGAGGUGUUCAGAUUUCUCUUUUUAACAGUUGAUUCCACACUGCUCAACAUCCGGUCCAGUAACUCUUGUGGUGAAAGGAUCAAUCCUGACCCACAGCAAAGAGAAAAUAGAAGCAAGAAGAAUAGACCAGACCACAACAAUGGUGGGUGUUCGGUUCUGGCGACCCAUCAAACCUUUGAGGAAUGGAUAGAGAUGGAUGAUCACCCAGAAGGCAAAGAA
rnacentral:misc_RNA from 1 species